GGUCCCAAGGUGUUCUUACAUAUUUAAUUGCAAAUUAAAAGUGACUGGUUAAUUACCAGUUAGGACUU
rnacentral:tRNA from 2 species